AAAAAUGGUUUAGGAAGCAGACAUUCACUUCUCCGUUCUAACCUUACCUCCCAGAAGCAAAAUGCUUCCUUUCUUUCUACUCUACGCGUUUUUUCCUGUCCCGGUUGGAGCCUCUCUCGUCAUCCUCCCACCCCCAUUUUUCAUUUUUCGUCUUUAGCUGUAGGCUUUGUAGCUCCCGUCUUCAGCGGGAGUUGCUCACAAGAAAUAAGACUCUACCCAGUGGUGGUUUCCUGCCCAGGUAAGGCAGCGGCCCCGCUGGGCGCUGAUUUGGUAGCACCCCAUCGUCCUGCCAGGAAUUUUUCCAAAGAGGGGAGAUUGUGCAACUCCUUUUACUGUAUCUUAAAUGCUGUGACAGCAUUGGAACCAGAUGAACGACUUAAGUUCUCAGGCAUUUAAAAUAAAUCUGCUCAUUGAACUAGUUCUCUCUUAUUCGACGUUUCCUUUGACUACUGUGAGGCCCCGUUCCCCAGCGUCUGGGUAACUCCACUAAUUUUGAGUUGUAUCCUGCAAAGGACCUUGAUGUUUCUCAGACUCAGAAGUAACUGACAAGAUGAUUUCAGUUUUCGAAGUGCCCACUUUUAAUUUAACAGUCUUUAUUUUUUUGAGUUCCAAAGUAGUACAGCCAUGUAGGAAUUAGGAAACACCAACUUAUCAUGGUGUUGUUGUAUUGUUUAACACAUUUAAAAGUUUUAAGAAGUCCUAACCUAAGCCUAAGGAUACUUUCAUUUGAAACGCUCCGCUCCAAGUGUUUUUAUAUCUUGUGUCCUUGUACCAAAAUGUAAUGUUCAGUCUCCUUCCUCAUGUCAAUGUUCAGAUCAGCCUCAUCUUCAAUUUUGGAAAUCUUUUUUCCCUCUGUGCUUUUUGGUUUAAGUGAUAAACAACAAAAUGGGGACAGCAACAAGAUUCUCCAUAACACAGAGACCUAGUAGGCAGAUAGAUUCCUUUAUACACAAAGUUGCUGUGCAGUUUUCACAUAUGUAAUACUGGUGAGUAACUAUAAGCUGGUAACUGAGAAUGUGUGCUGGUACACACGCACACUUAAAAUUAGUGCUGAAAAGUUUGUUGAAGAGAUUAUCAUGUUUUAGUAGUUCAAGUGGCAAGAAAUCUAGCUGAGGAGAGUAGUCAGUGUGGGAGUUAAUAUAGACCUGAGGUGUUGGAAACGCCUAAAAUAGCGAAGCUUUUUCAAAAUUAGAUGACAAGAUUCCUGAUAAUCAGGCAUUCUCUGGGCACUUCCAUAAAGGAAGUGGGGUGUUUCUUCUCUAAGCUUGUCCAACACAAUGUUUUAAGAGUAAAUGAAUGAAAAUUAUAAUUUGAAGGACUUUGGUGUUUUUGUUUUUAUUUCUAGUUUUGUAAGACUGUUCUGUAGAUAUUUGACAUGUAGAUUUCAUUGCUGUGUUUAAUAUUUUAAGAAAAAUACUAACCAGACUUUUGAAUUAAAGUAACUGGUUAAGUGAAAUUCUUACACUCUUUGCACUUUAGUUAUCUAAAUAUUCUUUUAAUCUUUUGGGAGGAGGAUAUUUAGUAUGGAAUCAGAAAUAGAAUUUAAAGGUGACAUUUUUAAACUAAUAUUUAAAUCUUGUUACUUUUUCUGCCACCUUUUUGGUAAUUUAUAAAAAUAUGCUUUUAAUACUUCUAAACUCUUGGCAUUUCCAUUAUUGAUUGCAGAUCUAAGGAAGGGAAGCUGUUAAGACUUAUGUAGUAUUACUUUGCAUAUGCUUGGCUCAGUUUGACAAUACAUUCAUUAAUUUGUUGUAAGUUUGAGGUAUUUUGCUAUUAACAUUUCACAGAUAAGUAAAAUAAGGUUUCAAAAGCUUUAAGUAAUUCACCCAAGGACACCAAAGAACGAAGUGGUAUUUAAUCCUGAGUUUGCCUGAUUCCAAAGUUGAUGCUCUUAUGACUUUAUACUCUCUUAAACAUUUGACGAUAGGGACCCUCUUCUUUAUCUCUUUGUUUUUAAUUUGCUUCACAACUUAUUUUGAAAAAGGACAAACAAUAGUUCUUUUUGUUUUUAAUAAAAGUUGUAAAUGCUAAACAUUAAAUAGUGUUGGACUCUAAAUUUAAUUUGUGUUUUAAUCGUUUUAGAACAAAGUUUAUUGUUUAACACAUUUAAAAGUUUUAUAUUACUGGUAUAGCAUUUUAGAAAUUAAUCUGGAAUUAAGUCUUUGCUUUUUUAAAUCAUGUAAAGUUGUUUUGAGGAUAUGUCUAUGAAAUUGAAUAACUGUACCUUUGGCCACUGGGCUAAUAAGAAAUAAGGUAUCUGAAGAAGCGCAAUAAUGUCCUUUAAAGUUGUUCAUUUGCAGUAGUGUGUCCCACACUGUUUUGCAUAGAAAAACUCUAAGCCAGAAACAGUUAUGUUUUCCAUUCCUGGGUCAAGUGUAUUGUAUAGUUAAGCAUUUUUGUCAAUUUGAAAUUAUGUGAAAUUGUGGCUCAAAUGAGAAGAACCAUUCCCAAACCCCUCUCCAGGUGAGAAAAUCCAGGAAGUCACUGCAAGCUCCAGAAGAAAGAUAGUUAUUGGUUGAAAUGGAUCUUUUUUUCCUUUCUUUCUGUAAACUGUCCUACCUUCCCCAAAUGAUUAGACUGAUUGAUCCUGAGGCUCCCAUAGAUUCAGCUUUUAUAUCUUUUGUUCAUGUGUCUCAAGUACACAACUCAGCCCUAACUGCUCUCCUGAGCACUGGUCACACAUUUUUAUCUGCUAGUCCUGUUCACCGGAGACAGUUAAUGAGAUGUGUUUAAAUGGAAACUGCCUAAAAGUAAAUUUAUAAACUCCCCUCUCCAUUCCCUCUACACAAAAGGUGGCAGAAAUGUAUCUCCUGCUCGUUUUUUUCUUUAUUUCUCUAUUCCCAUUAUUCCAGUCAUCCAGGUUUUUUACUUCAGCUUUUUAUCUUUGUUUUCUGUAUCUUACAAUCAGUUCCUAAAUCUUGGCAUGCCCCUCAUCAAAAUGUCUUAUACAAAUAAUUUAUCUCCUGCUUGAAAACCUUAUUUAUUUAUAUUAGUAUUUGGUUUAUUAUCUCUCAGUUGACCAGACUAUUAAAUUAACUAUUGCUAUUUAUGUUAUUAACUACUGUUGUUUAGUAACAAAAUUUUACUGUACAAACAGAAUGCAAGUUGAUUGUACCUGUUCUAUGGAAGAAGAAAUAAAGCCAAGGGAGGGAGGGUAGGGUUAGAAGAAUGUCUUAUAUCUAGUCUUUCUCUUCUGUUAUUUUUAACUGUUAAGCACUUAUUAUAAACUUUCUAAACUAAUCCCUCUAAUUUCCUGUAUCUAAGCCAUGUUUUAAUAUGUCAUUUUUCUGCUCCCAAACUUUUAGUUUCUGGAUCCUCCAUUGCCUUUACAAGGAAGCCAAACUCCUGAAAAUGGGAUACUUCACUUUUAAGAAAAAAAUUAGGAGUGUUAGUGGGCUGAGAAGAAUGAUUCAGAGGAGAGAGAAAUAGAAAAUCUUAUUUUACUUAGAGCUGCUUUGGUGAGGACUCUACUUGCUGCUAAAGAAUCAAAGUUUUCUUCAGACAGUUUUAAAAUCUCCUGGAACUAAAGUUUUACCUUAGUGUUUGUAAAAAAAAUCUUGCCAGUUUAGUGUCCAGCAAAAGCAUCAGAAAAAUCUGGAGAAGCCAUGGACACAGCUGGCAACAUAAAGUAGCACCGCCAGAUGCUCACCUCUUCCAGUAAUAGACACAUCUUAAAGCGGCAACAUAAGCCUAAUCACAUCUGCCCGUGGCAUUUCACCGUGAAGCUUGGCUGAGAAAGGUGCAUGCUGUAGCACUAAUGCAGAGCGACAGAAUCAAGGACUUCAAGGCAGAAAGCUACAUGUGGAGUUCGUGUGCAUCUGGCCUUUCUUCCCUGAGAAAUUUUUCAGUCUUACUCAGCAGUGUAGGGUUAAGAUAAGGUUGUACAUUUUCAAAUUCUGUAGUCCGGGUAACAUAGGAUAGUAAAAACUUCAUAUGCUGUACUAACUGUUCUUUCUGGGGGUCACCCAAGAACAAUUCAAUACUCUAUUGAUGUUUGUCUGGAUCAUCAAUGUAUGCCAUAAUGAUACCAAGGAUUUUGAUCACAGUUUCUUAUGCCAAAUGUACUUUAUCUUCCAUUUAUGUCGGUUGCAACACUGAAAGAACGGAGGAGUUGGAACUUCAGAAAAAUAAGGCCCACUGCUCCACAGAAUUUAGCCCCAAGUAGUUGUCUUUCUGGGUAUUAAGACUAAUAUCUUCCCAUCAGUGUGAUAAAAGUUUGGCUGCUUUAAAUGUUGGUUCAAUAUGAUGUAUAAAUGCCACAUAACCCAUCAGUAUUAUUUACUCAUCAUCUGGAGACACUGAUUUUUGUCUGUAGGUUCAGGGCACAGGCACCAUGGUCUGCAUAAUAUGAGGGGCAUCCUCUCUCUCUCGUUUGCAACACAUGAGGAACAAUUUGUAGCAAGCAGCAUGCCAGCAUUAACGUAAUACUUUUUUCACUGUCUGCAAUCUGAGAUACCUGAGAUGACUAUCUCCUGACAUUUACGAAAAGAAAGUAGUGCUUGGUAGAAAGCAGGAGACAACAUCCCAUGAGGUUUAUCAAAAUGAACUUGAUGGACAAGGUGACAUUCUUUCCUACAGAAAAGAUUUGGGGAAUUCUUUUUUAAAAUAGUGGAAUCAACAUCUGAUAUUGAAAGAUGAAUUUCCUUGUUUUCCCCUUGUCUGAAUAAUUUAAUGAUUUACAACUGAAUUCUGUCCACUUUUUUCAGAUAUUUGCGGGGAUUCUGAUCCAAAGAAGGUUGAAAAGAGUCACAAACUACCCCGGCAGCACAGUCAUUUUGAGGAAGUCCAUUUCAUUUCCGGUCUUCUAAUUUAUUCCAUCAAAGAUCAUUUCUCACUACUUAAUAAGCUAAUUUUACCUUCUACUUUCUGAAGUGGCAAGGAGUUCUCUAUAGGAAGUAGAGCGGAGAAAGUUUGUCUAAAAUUGUGGAUGGAAUUCACCUUUUCCACUCAACCAGCCACAUCACAAGAUUUUCCCCAGUUAUUUUAUCACUCAGUAGAGUUGCCAACAAGUCUGGAGGUUUUGAAAUGUUUAAUCUACAUUAUCCCAUAAUUCAAAAUCCUGAUUAUUAUUUUCUUCUGAAAACGUUAUUGAUGUAAGCUUGUACUUCUACGUAAAUAAAAGUUCAUUUACUAAGAAUUUUAGAGUUUUUCCAAGAAGUUUGCUUAGCUUCUGAAUUUCAGGACUUGAUUUGUAAUUUUUUUUGUUCUUAUAAAGGAACUUUGUUUUCAACAGCCUUUGUCAAGUAGGCUCAGAUUUUUCUCUUUUUAAAUGUAAUUGUCAACCUUUCCCGUCCUCCUUUCAAAUUCUUUGGAGAAUAUGAAACUAGAUAAACACAUUUUUGUAAAUUUAUAUCUGAAAUAAAAACGAAGAUCUAUGAAGAA